GAUGAACGCUGGCGGCGUGCCUAAUACAUGCAAGUCGAGCGAACAGACGAGGAGCUUGCUCCUCUGACGUUAGCGGCGGACGGGUGAGUAACACGUGGAUAACCUACCUAUAAGACUGGGAUAACUUCGGGAAACCGGAGCUAAUACCGGAUAAUAUAUUGAACCGCAUGGUUCAAUAGUGAAAGACGGUUUUGCUGUCACUUAUAGAUGGAUCCGCGCCGCAUUAGCUAGUUGGUAAGGUAACGGCUUACCAAGGCAACGAUGCGUAGCCGACCUGAGAGGGUGAGCGGCCACACUGGAACUGAGACACGGUCCAGACUCCUACGGGAGGCAGCAGUAGGGAAUCUGCCGCAAUGGGCGAAAGCCUGACGGAGCAACGCCGCGUGAGUGAUGAAGGUCUUCGGAUCGUAAAACUCUGUUAUUAGGGAAGAACAAAUGUGUAAGUAACUAUGCACGUCUUGACGGUACCUAAUCAGAAAGCCACGGCUAACUACGUG
rnacentral:rRNA from 1 species